rnacentral:misc_RNA from 1 species
ACAAAAAUCGUGCAACAGUAACUGAAAUGUAGACCUUCAAUUUUCGCCCGCAAGAGGUGCACAUUCACAAAGAGCAAAGACCAACAUCAACAUGAUUUCCUGCUAUGAUAGGCGACGAAUAAAAGUAUUCAAUAUUGUAGUAAUGAUUGUAUGGUCAAGUCAUUUGUCCUAUGCAGAUGGAUCGUGUGCCUCAAAAGGGGACAUUGUUUUUCUUCUUGACGAAUCUGGAAGCAUUGGCUCAAGCAAUUUUGAGCGGAUCAAAUCUUUUGUAAGCACCAUUGUCGGCCAAUUCAGUGUUGGAAACGAUACAAAUCAGUUUAGCGUCGUCAAUUUUGAAUCAUCUGCAAGAGAAAUCUUCCCCUUGAACAGAUACCAAACUGUGCCAAGUAUUCAGUCAGCUAUUUCUAUCAUCAGUUUCUCAAGUGGUGGAACAAGCAUAGGUAGUGCCCUUAACUAUGCCCGAAUGUACUCUUUUACAACCACUAGAGGUGCACGAUUGGAUGCGGCAAAGAUAGCAGUUCUAAUAACAGAUGGUCAAAGCUCUCUUUCUGACGAGCCUGAACGUCUAAAAGCAAUGGGGGUCACCAUCUUCUGCGUCGGUGUUGGGACAGGUGUGAAUUCCGCUGUGCUUCGCUCAGUGGCUACACACAACGACUACACAUAUUUGACCACAUUUGACCUGCUCAAUCUCAUAGCGGAGGAGUUAUCAAAUAGGACGUGUGCAGAUGAUAUCAAUGAUUGUCUUGGGGAACCUUGUCUAAAUGGGGGAACUUGUGAAGACCAGUUUGGAAAAUACGUGUGUCAUUGUCAAGGAGGGAAUACAGAUCCCAACUGUUACCUGCCAGGUUUGCCAAAUGUAACACUAGGUUCUAGUGUUUUGGUAUAUUCAGGUUCAACAGCAACACUCUAUUGUUACGUUACAAGUUUAACAACGGUCUCCUCCAUCAUAUGGCUAUACCAGAAAAAUGGGGUCACUUCAGUGGUAAACACAGGAGAUACUUCAAAAUAUAGCGGUGGAACUGUUGGAACACCCUCUCUCUCCGUAAAGAACGUUCAAGUAACAGAUGUAGGAAACUACAGAUGUCAGGCUACAAAUACGGCAGGAAUUGGCCAGAGCGAACAAAUGAUAUAUUUGGAUUUGAGACAAGGUUUCAAUAUUUGAGUUUAUAAAAUGUUAUCAAAUAGAAAUGUAGAAAAAUAUCACCAAAUCUAUAAAUUCUUUCUAUUUAAAAUUUU